CAAAUAAAACUAAUGUUUAACCUAAUAAAAAAAAAGCAAAAUUAUGAUGGAUUUAUUAAGAAACAUUUGUAUUUUAUUUCCCUCCUCCUUAAAUUUUUUUCUGGUGUUUUUCCCUCCCUAGGUCCGUAGUCAAUUCUAGGAUAUGUAUCUAUCCCAUUCCUUGUCCCAUUCAGAAGGACACCUGCAGCACACUUUCUGUUUCCGCUGAUUAUGGAUUUGUAAUUAUUUGGCCAAGUUUUUCCAUUUGAAAGCAAGAGAAAUUGGCUGGAAAUUCGAACAGCCACCCCAAAGCAAACCUCAAACGUGUUGAGCCCGAUGGAGGCACCUGCAGAGGUUUAACAUAAAAAUCUUGAGCCUGCCAAGAAUUUUUGAAGUCCAUCCUUAACAAGGACAAUAAGAUAAGAAAUUGUACCUGUAACUGUUCCAGGAAAGCUGCCUAGUUGUGCUCCAGGCACACCACCGUGCCCAGAUGCUGCUGGAUUUCCUAGGCUGCAAUAACCUGGGUAUGGCUCACUGUUCCUCUGGAAACUCCUUGGGAUGAGC